rnacentral:rRNA from 1 species
ACUCCGAUUGCGAAGGCAGCUUGCUGGACUGUAACUGACGCUGAGGCACGAAAGCGUGGGGAUCAAACAGGAUUAGAUACCCUGGUAGNCCACGCCGUAAACGAUGAAUGCUAGCUGUUAGCGAUAUACUGUUAGCGGCACAGAGAAAUCGUUAAGCNUUCCACCUGGGGAGUACGCCGGCAACGGUGAAACUCAAAGGAAUUGACGGGGGCCCGCACAAGCGGAGGAACAUGUGGUUUAAUUCGAUGAUACGCGAGGAACCUUACCUGGGCUUAAAUUGCAGUGGAAUAACGUGGAAACAUGUUAGCCUUCGGGCCGCUGUGAAGGUGCUGCAUGGUUGUCGUCAGCUCAUGCCGUGAGGUGUCGGCUUAAGUGCCAUAACGAGCGCAACCCUCAUCGAUAGUUACUAACAGGUUAAGCUGAGGACUCUAUCGAGACUGCCGACGUAAGUCGUGAGGAAGGUGGGGAUGACGUCAAAUCAGCACGGCCCUUACGUCCAGGGCUACACACGUGUUACAAUGGGGGGUACAAAGGGCAGCUACCUGGCGACAGGAUGCUAAUCUCUAAAACCUCUCUCAGUUCGGAUUGGAGUCUGCAACCCGACUCCAUGAAGCUGGAUUCGCUAGUAAUCGCGCAUCAGCCACGGCGCGGUGAAUACGUUCCCGGGCCUUGUACACACCGCCCGUCAAGCCAUGGGAGCCGGGGGGACCUGAAGUAUGCAACCGUAAGGAGCGUCCUAGGGUAAAACUGGUGACUGGGGCU